rnacentral:rRNA from 1 species
CCUACGGGCGGCAGCAGUGGGGAAUAUUGGACAAUGGGCGAAAGCCUGAUCCAGCCAUGCCGCGUGUGUGAAGAAGGCCUUCGGGUUGUAAAGCACUUUCAGUGGGGAAGAAAGCCUUGGGGCUAAUACCCUCGAGGAAGGACAUCACCCACAGAAGAAGCACCGGCUAACUCCGUGCCAGCGGCCGCGGUAAUACGGAGGGUGCGAGCGUUAAUCGGAAUUACUGGGCGUAAAGCGCGCGUAGGCGGUCUGAUAAGCCGGUUGUGAAAGCCCCGGGCUCAACCUGGGAACGGCAUCCGGAACUGUCAGGCUAGAGUGCAGGAGAGGAAGGUAGAAUUCCCGGUGUAGCGGUGAAAUGCGUAGAGAUCGGGAGGAAUACCAGUGGCGAAGGCGGCCUUCUGGACUGACACUGACGCUGAGGUGCGAAAGCGUGGGUAGCAAACAGGAUUAGAUACCCCAGUAGUC